UAUGCAGGUGGACCGAUUGUAGGUCAAAGG
rnacentral:piRNA from 1 species